rnacentral:tRNA from 1 species
ACCUUCGUGGUGUAAUGGGUAGCACGCUCGACGCGUAAUCGAGAGAGGUCCGUGGUUCGAUUCCCGGUGAAGGCU